AGACGUCUACGAGUUUGACCUGGCUCAGGACGAACGCUGGCGGCGUGCUUAACACAUGCAAGUCGAACGAGGUCCACUACGGAGCAAUCCAAGGGAAGACCUAGUGGCGAACGGGUGCGUAACACGUGAGGAACUUGUCCCGGUCUCUGGGAUAACAGUUGGAAACGACUGCUAAUACCGGAUGACGUCGGAAUCUCGCAUGGGAUGCUGACGAAAGGGUUACCGGAUCGGGAGAGCCUCGCGGCCUAUCAGCUUGUUGGCGGGGUAACGGCCCACCAAGGCAUCGACGGGUAGCUGGUCUGAGAGGAUGAUCAGCCACACUGGGACUGAGACACGGCCCAGACUCCUACGGGAGGCAGCAGUGGGGAAUCUUGCGCAAUGGGCGAAAGCCUGACGCAGCAACGCCGCGUGCGGGAAGAAGGCUCUCGGGUUGUAAACCGCUUUCAGCAGGACGAAAAUGACGGUACUUGCAGAAGAAGGUGCGGCCAACUACGUG
rnacentral:rRNA from 1 species